CAGAAGAUAGUUUAAUUUAGAAUUCUGGCUUUGGGAGCCAGGGGUGGGAGUUAAAAUCUCCUUUUUCUGG
rnacentral:tRNA from 52 species